rnacentral:rRNA from 1 species
GGACAUUACCGAGUUUACAACUCCCAAACCCCUGUGAACAUACCACUUGUUGCCUCGGCGGAUCAGCCCGCUCCCGGUAAAACGGGACGGCCCGCCAGAGGACCCCUAAACUCUGUUUCUAUAUGUAACUUCUGAGUAAAACCAUAAAUAAAUCAAAACUUUCAACAACGGAUCUCUUGGUUCUGGCAUCGAUGAAGAACGCAGCAAAAUGCGAUAAGUAAUGUGAAUUGCAGAAUUCAGUGAAUCAUCGAAUCUUUGAACGCACAUUGCGCCCGCCAGUAUUCUGGCGGGCAUGCCUGUUCGAGCGUCAUUUCAACCCUCAAGCACAGCUUGGUGUUGGGACUCGCGUUAAUUCGCGUUCCCCAAAUUGAUUGGCGGUCACGUCGAGCUUCCAUAGCGUAGUAGUAAAACCCUCGUUACUGGUAAUCGUCGCGGCCACGCCGUUAAACCCCAACUUCUGAAUGUUGACCUCGGAUCAGGUAGGAAUACCCGCUGAACUUAAGCAUAUCAAUAAGCGGAGGGAAAAAACCAACCCAUUU